rnacentral:rRNA from 1 species
GACGACCGGCGCACGGGUGAGUAACGCGUAUGCAACCUACCUACAACAGGGGAAUAACCCGGAGAAAUUCGGACUAAUACCGCAUAAAACAGGGGCUCCGCAUGGAGAUAUUUGUUAAAGAUUUAUCGGUUGUAGAUGGGCAUGCGUUCCAUUAGGUAGUUGGUGAGGUAACGGCUCACCAAGCCGGCGAUGGAUAGGGGAACUGAGAGGUUUGUCCCCCACACUGGAACUGAGACACGGACCAGACUCC